rnacentral:sRNA from 1 species
AGUAUUUUACCUCUUCUCUCUGUCUCCCUCUCAAGGUUUCCUGCUGAUCUUGGCACUGACCGAAGCGCUGGCAUUUGCCAUCCAGGAACCAUCUCCCAGGGAAUCUCUUCAGGUCCUCCCUUCAGGCACUCCCCCGGGAACCAUGGUGACAGCACCCCACAGCUCUACCAGACAUACUUCUGUGGUGAUGCUGACCCCCAAUCCCGAUGGACCCCCCUCACAGGCUGCAGCUCCCAUGGCAACACCGACACCCCGUGCAGAGGGGCACCCUCCUACGCACACCAUCUCCACCAUCGCUGCGACAGUAACCGCCCCCCAUUCUGAAAGCUCCCUGUCCACAGGGCCCGCUCCAGCAGCCAUGGCAACCACAUCCUCCAAGCCAGAGGGCCGCCCUCGAGGGCAGGCUGCCCCCACCAUCCUGCUGACAAAGCCACCGGGGGCCACCAGCCGCCCCACCACAGCGCCCCCCCGCACUACCACACGCAGGCCCCCCAGGCCCCCAGGCUCUUCCCGAAAAGGGGCUGGUAAUUCAUCACGCCCUGUCCCGCCUGCACCUGGUGGCCACUCCAGGAGUAAAGAAGGACAGCGAGGACGAAAUCCAAGCUCCACACCUCUGGGGCAGAAGCGGCCCCUGGGGAAAAUCUUUCAGAUCUACAAGGGCAACUUCACAGGGUCUGUGGAACCAGAGCCCUCUACCCUCACCCCCAGGACCCCACUCUGGGGCUACUCCUCUUCACCACAGCCCCAGACAGUGGCUGCGACCACAGUGCCCAGCAAUACCUCAUGGGCACCCCCCACCACCUCCCUGGGGCCUGCAAAGGACAAGCCAGGCCUUCGCAGAGCAGCCCAGGGGGGUGGUUCUACCUUCACCAGCCAAGGAGGGACACCAGAUGCCACAGCAGCCUCAGGUGCCCCUGUCAGUCCACAAGCUGCCCCAGUGCCUUCUCAGCGCCCCCACCGCGGUGACCCACAGGAUGGCCCCAGCCAUAGUGACUCUUGGCUUACUGUCACCCCUGGCACCAACAGACCUCUGUCUACCAGCUCUGGGGUCUUCACGGCUGCCACGGGGCCCACCCCAGCUGCCUUCGAUACCAGUGUCUCAGCCCCUUCCCAGGGGAUUCCUCAGGGAGCAUCCACAACCCCACAAGCUCCAACCCAUCCCUCCAGGGUCUCAGAAAGCACUAUUUCUGGAGCCAAGGAGGAGACUGUGGCCACCCUCACCAUGACCGACCGGGUGCCCAGUCCUCUCUCCACAGUGGUAUCCACAGCCACAGGCAAUUUCCUCAACCGCCUGGUCCCCGCCGGGACCUGGAAGCCUGGGACAGCAGGGAACAUCUCCCAUGUGGCCGAGGGGGACAAACCGCAGCACAGAGCCACCAUCUGCCUGAGCAAGAUGGAUAUCGCCUGGGUGAUCCUGGCCAUCAGCGUGCCCAUCUCCUCCUGCUCUGUCCUGCUGACGGUGUGCUGCAUGAAGAGGAAGAAGAAGACCGCCAACCCGGAGAACAACCUGAGCUACUGGAACAACACCAUCACCAUGGACUACUUCAACAGGCAUGCUGUGGAGCUGCCCAGGGAGAUCCAGUCCCUUGAAACCUCUGAGGACCAGCUCUCAGAGCCCCGCUCCCCAGCCAAUGGCGACUAUAGAGACACUGGGAUGGUCCUUGUUAACCCCUUCUGUCAAGAAACACUGUUUGUGGGAAACGAUCAAGUAUCUGAGAUCUAACUACAGCAGGCAUCACUUUGCCAUUCCGUAUUUUUCGUCUCUAAAUUAUAAAUAUACAAAUAUAUAUAUUAUAAAUAUAACCUUUGUGUAACCCUGACUUAAUGAGAAACAUUUUCAGCUUUUUUUCCUAUGAAUUGUCAACAUCUUUUUUACAAGUGUGGUUUAAAAAAAAAAAACUUUACAGAAUGAUCUGUGGCUUUAUAA